GGCUUAGGUUUCAGUUUCCCUAGCUGAGGGGAUUCUAAUGACUUAGGACACCAUUUGCUCUCUUGGUUAUUUUGCUUAGGAAGGAUAGGUACUUGCAGGGGCCAAUGAAGGGCAAAGUAAAAAUAACUAUCCUGAACUACAGAUACACAAUUUAAACAGCAUUCAAAAUGUUCUUCUAAAAAAAAAAAAGGAGUACACGGAAUUUGGCCUGUCACAGAACAAAGAAAAUACCAGCUUCAGGUGGACAGUACCCCAGUUCCGUUCUGACAGCUUCUUGGCAACUGUUAAUAUGUAUCGAGCUUGAAUGGAUGGGUAGGAGGGAGGACCGGAGGGGAAACCGCAGAAGAAUGGGGGCAGAAGAGGAGAGGGAGGGACGUGGAGGAGCCCAGGGAUCCACACUGCUCAGCUGCUUCUGGGUUUACCGUGCAGCGCGAGCGCCAUCAUGUGCUCAUCUCUCUAACUUCAGCGGAAGAAACGCGUUUUUCCCCGCCACUGCAUUUGAGGAAUGGAAAAAUAAACCAAAAUCGUUCAUCGGGCCUGAGAAACCUUGAGAAGCAUAUUACCCUACGGUUGUUUUUUCAUCGAAAAGUUGAAGGAUUUCUGACAUCUCAAUUAGUAACGCAUCUGGAAUGUUUGCUCUCCAGGAAUAGAUGUACCCACCAAAAGCCUUGCUUGCAGCCACCUCCACGUCUCUCAACCUGCCUGAGUCCAGGGCUUAUGUUACAAGGAAUUCUCAAAGCUGUGUUAUCAAAGCUGUGAAAUCAAAGUCUCUACCCCUCUGAAGUUUACCCGGAUGGCCUGACUCAUCCCAGAGAUGGACUCCAAACCUCCCACUUUGCCUGGAAACCUUCAGAAUCUGGCUCCAACCCACCUAUUAUCUGAGGGUCAAGUCCUGCAUCAGAUUGUAUUUUCCAAUGUUGGCUGCAACAAGAUCUCGAUGUGAUCUUGACGUUCCUCCCAUAGAGUGGUGGAGUCUACAUCCCCUCUCCUGGAGACUGAGUGGAGCUUUGUGACUGCUGCAGCCAUUGGAGUAUGGCAGAAGUGCUGUUAUGUCACUUAUGAGAUUGGAUCAUAAAAAUGCCACACACUUCCUUCCUCUCUUGGAAUGCUGAGGCCAUGUUGUGAGGAAGUCCAAUGAGCCCCUGUGGAAAGACCAUAUAGAAUGACUACUUUGAGAUGUUCCAGCUUACAGCCCUGCUUGGCCCUAGCCAACAGCCAGCAUCUUUCACCAGACAUAUGAGUGACGACCCUCCAGAUGAUUCCAGCUUCCAGCCAGUGAAUCACAUCUAGCUUUCAAGUCUUCCUAGCCGAGGCCCCAGGCAUUGUGAAGCAGAGGUAAGUAAUUCCUCUCACGCCCUGUCCAAAUUCUGGACCCACAGAAUCUGUGAGCAUCAUAAAGUGGAUGAUUUUUGUCAUCAGAUCUUGGG